rnacentral:rRNA from 1 species
AUUGAACGCUGGCGGCAUGCUUUACACAUGCAAGUCGGACGAGUGGCGAACGGGUGAGUAACAUAUCGGAACGUACCGAGUCAUGGGGGAUAACUAAUCGAAAGAUUAGCUAAUACCGCCUAUUAUUCUUGCGGCCUAUAUCUGAUUAGCGGGUUGGCGGGGUAAAGGCCUACCGAGGCGACGAUCAGUAGCGGGUGUGAGAGGAUGAUCCGACACAGGGGGACAGAGACACGGCACAGACUCAUAGGGGAGGGCGCAGUGGGGAAUUUUGGACAAGGGGCAAGAGCCUGAACCAACCAUGCCGUGUGUCUGAAGAAGGCCUGCGGGUUGUAAGGAUUUUAGUCAGGGAAGCGGUACCGGAAGAAUAAGCACCGGCUAACUACGUGCCAGCAGCCGCGGUAAUAC